rnacentral:rRNA from 1 species
AGGACGAACGCUGGCGGCGUGCUUAACACAUGCAAGUCGAGCGGAAAGGCCCUUCGGGGUACUCGAGCGGCGAACGGGUGAGUAACACGUGAGUAAUCUGCCCCUAGCUCUGGGAUAGCUCCGGGAAACCGGGAUUAAUACCGGAUACGACCACUUUAGACAUCUGUUGUGGUGGAAAGAAUUUUGGCUAGGGAUGAGCUCGCGGCCUAUCAGCUUGUUGGUGGGGUAAUGGCCUACCAAGGCGACGACGGGUAGCCGGCCUGAGAGGGCGACCGGCCACACUGGGACUGAGACACGGCCCAGACUCCUACGGGAGGCAGCAGUGGGGAAUAUUGCGCAAUGGGCGAAAGCCUGACGCAGCGACGCCGCGUGGGGGAUGAAGGCCUUCGGGUUGUAAACCCCGUUUCAGCAGGGACGAAGCGAAAGUGACGGUACCUGCAGAAGAAGCGCCGGCUAACUACGCGCCAGCAGCCGC